UCGCGCCUUUUAGCCAUUUGUGUUUUCGAUUUGAUAUCAAGUUGUUGUCGGCGUCGUAAAAAGAUCAAAUCGUUGGCAUUUUGGCUAGAUCGACGCGUUGACGUGUGAGUGGCUAAUCGAAUGUUUGUGUUGGCUGGCUCCCUGCUUGCGCAGCGAACAGUUUGCGCAUCCACAUUUCAUCUGAGAUGGUGAUGUCCGUGUCGGAUUUUUUGUGUUGCCAACCCAAGUGUAGGAAUUCAUAUGACCUUGCUGCGUAACUUCGCCAAACACCCCUUGUGGUGCUAGGGGGACGAUGAAGGGGCUCCAUUUUUUGCCAUGCUCUCCCUUGUCGGGAACCAUGGAAAAGUUAUGGUAUUGCUUGUUGCCUCGGAUGCAGAGCAUGAAGCGAGCAUGAUGCCUGUCGUCAUCGCCCAUUCAGAGCUCUCGGUUGCUCGGAAAGAGAGACCGUCGCGCUUGGUUUUCGGCUACCGACUCGUCGGUCCAGCUCGAAGCCUUGCCGAUGUCUUAUAUGAAUGCUACCUGGUUGAUCCUGCCAGUAGUCAUAUGCUUGUCUCAAAGAUUAAGCCAUG
rnacentral:misc_RNA from 1 species